rnacentral:rRNA from 1 species
GAUGAACGCUGGCGGCGUGCCUAAUACAUGCAAGUCGAGCGAACAGACGAGGAGCUUGCUCCUCUGACGUUAGCAGCGGACGGGUGAGUAACACGUGGAUAACCUACCUAUAAGACUGGGAUAACUUCGGGAAACCGGAGCUAAUACCGGAUAAUAUAUUGAACCGCAUGGUUCAAUAGUGAAAGACGGUUUUGCUGUCACUUAUAGAUGGAUCCGCGCCGCAUUAGCUAGUUGGUAAGGUAACGGCUUACCAAGGCAACGAUGCGUAGCCGACCUGAGAGGGUGAUCGGCCACACGGGAACUGAGACACGGUCCAGACUCCUACGGGAGGCAGCAGUAGGGAAUCUUCCGCAAUGGGCGAAAGCCUGACGGAGCAACGCCGCGUGAGUGAUGAAGGUCUUCGGAUCGUAAAACUCUGUUAUUAGGGAAGAACAAAUGUGUAAGUAACUAUGCACGUCUUGACGGUACCUAAUCAGAAAGCCACGGCUAACUACGUG